rnacentral:rRNA from 1 species
UACGUAGGGUGCAAGCGUUAAUCGGAAUUACUGGGCGUAAAGCGUGCGUAGACGGUUGCGUAAGUCAGAUGUGAAAGCCCCGGGCUCAACCUGGGAAUUGCAUUUGAGACUGCGUAGCUAGGGUGCGGUAGAGGGAAGCGGAAUUUCCGGUGUAGCGGUGAAAUGCGUAGAUAUCGGAAGGAACAUCAGUGGCGAAAGCGGCUUCCUGGACCAGCACCGACGUCAGGCACGAAAGCGUGGGGAGCAAACAGG